CAAUAGCGUAUAUUAACGUUGUUGCAGUUAAAAAGCUCGUAGUUGGAUUUCUGGAGGGAGCGUCGGCCCGUAUUUACGAGUGCGUGACGUCUCUGUCCAUCCUUGCGGGAAGGCACGGCAUUGAGUUGUUGUGUCGGAUCGCAUCAUUUACUGUGAAAAAAUUAGAGUGUUCAAAGCAGGCUUUCGCUUGAAUACAUUAGCAUGGAAUAAUAAGAUAGGACUUUGGUGCUAUUUUGUUGGUUGAGCCUAAAGUAAUGAUUAAUAGGGAUAGUUGGGGGCACCUGUAUUGCGUUGUCAGAGGUGAAAUUCUUGGAUUUACGCAAGACAAACAGCUGCGAAAGCGUCUGCCAAGGAUGUUUUCAUUAA
rnacentral:rRNA from 1 species